rnacentral:rRNA from 1 species
GACGAACGCUGGCGGCGCGCUUCAAGCAUGCAAGUCGAACGAGAUACCCGAGCUUGCUCGGGUGGAGAGUGGCGAACGGGUGAGUAACACGUGAGGAACCUGCCCCGAAGACCGGGAUAA